GCUCCGGUAGCUCAGGGGAUAGAGCAACGGUCUUCUAAACCGUCGGUCGCUGGUUCGAUCCCAGCCCGGAGUGCCA
rnacentral:tRNA from 1 species